GUUCUGAUAAUCUAGAUACGGUAGUUCUGCAUUAAGAGAUGAGGUUAGUAUAAUCUGUGUCAAUUCUUAAGCUUUAAAUGUUAGUGAGACUAUAUGUGUUAAGCUUUAAAUGUUAAUGUUGUAUUGUGGCAGGUUGGUCCUCCAGUAAGCUGAAUACUAUCAUCCCUCCAUGCAACUUAUUUGGCACCAAACAAAAGUUUGGAUGGGAUUCAGUCUUGGAAACCGCUACAGCUUCUAAUGAUAUUUGAGAAAGUUACAUUGCUGUUCAUCCAAAAGCAAAAAGAUUUCGAACUUCCAUUUGUCCCAAAUAUGAAGAGCUUAUAACAAUAUUUGGAGAUACUACUGCUAUCAGUAAAGAGGUGAUAGCAAGCACCCAAGAUGUGUCAGAUAGCAGUGCUUCUCAAGACAACGAGCUUCUUUUUGAUGAUGUUAGUAUAGAUGGGGAGUCUAGUGGUUCAAGAAACUGUCGUUAUCCAAGAAAUCUAAUUUUCAAUGAGAGUAUCCACCAUGUGAGAAGUCAAUCAAGAGUUUCAGAGUUAGCAGAUGCCAUUAGAUCCCUAGCAGAGGCUAACCAAACAAGGAACAAUAUGAUGAUACAACAACAUACAGCUGCAACUUUGAGUUCUGGGCAGUACUCAAUUGCAAAUUGUAUUAAAAUUCUUGAAACUAUUGAAAGAGUGAAUAUGCCUACAUAUUUGAAAGCGAUUGAGAAGUUCCAAGAUAAGAGAUGGAGGAAAACAUUUAUUGAGAUGUCAAGUGAGCAUAGGUUGGGGUGGUUGGCAAGUUUGUAGGAUGUUCAUGUGAUUUUUAGUUGUUUAAAUGGACUUUAAGUAUUAGAAUAUUAUAUCAAGAAUUAUGUAUGUGCAUAUUAUGCUUUAUUUGGAUUGAUGUUCUAUUGUCUUUUAGACUUUAUGCUAUGGAUUUAUAAUGUUAUGAAGAUUAUGUAUCACUUAAA